AGAUCCCUGCUUAGGGCCCUUUGUGGAUGCAGCAGAGGAAACCGGCUCACAGGACCUGCCUUCUUAGGCCGAGAAGAGGGAGCUGGGCCAGAAGAGGCCCUUCUCAGGGUGCCCUGAGAGUGAGCAGACAUGUGUCCAGCCUUCACUGUCCAUUCCUGCUGAAGGGGACAGCCACAGCCUGCUGCUGCUCAAGGCCUCCACGGUGCUGCAGGGCCAGCUAUCUCAGGACCCUGGAUUCCUGGAAUUGUCUGACAGAGUGGAAGUCUGUUCUCCAUCCCCUGACAAGCCGCACACUCCAAAACAGGACUGUCUUCAGUGACGAUUCUUUUUGUCACCAGUGAAGCUGGCCUUGUCCAGAGAGCAACAUGGUCUCAGCUAGUCAACCCUCCUGGCAGCUGUCAGUCUGGAGCUUGGUGAUCCUCAUUGCUUAACCUUCCGAGCCUGCUCUGUUGUCCUUUGUGGACUUAGAUUCUAGUUCGUAUUGAUUUUUGGUUUCCUUACCAAAACUCGCACAGAUGAUGACCUUUGCCUUGUUUCAGACUUCAUGUAAAUGUAACCGUGGUGCAAAGGAGAGAGCUCAGCCUGAAAAGCCAUUGUUAAAUUCAAUCCCAGCACCCAUGUAGAGACCUGUGUGGCAGUGCUGGCUUGAACCUCUGUGUUGGGGAGUCGGGGACAGUGAGAUCCCUGGCAUGGCUGGCUAGCUCCAUUAGUGACUGGCAGGUCCAGUAGAAGGUAUGCACUCCACCAACUAAGCUAUACCCCAAUCCCCCAUUCUUCAAGUUUAAGGCAGGGGGUUUCACUAUGUACCCCAGGCUGGCUGAAACUCUCAUUCCUCCUGCCUCAGUUUGUAGAAUGUGGAUUGCCGGUGCCACUGCACCAGACUCUACCAGUAUUUGUUAAACAAAGGAUCCAAAGACAACUCGAGGCCAAAACUUGGCUUGAAGUCUGUGUCAGCUGGAUCAUAGACACAAGUGAUCUCAGGCACAGAAGGCAGUGGGGUUAUGAGGAUCCAGAGGUAGCUGUGAGCAGCACCUGUAGAUUGAGGCCACUAGAGAAGAAAGGGGCAAGUCCCUGAGUAUGGUCCUCUCAGGGAGCAGGGUGCAUAGCCUAGUGGCUCAGGGACAGAACACGGGAUCUACAUGGUGAAGGAGAAAACUGACCUCUGAGGGUUGUCUUCUGACCUUCACACACAUAGUCCCCUCUCCAACAGAAUGAAUGAAUAAAUGUUUCAAAAGAA
rnacentral:lncRNA from 1 species